rnacentral:rRNA from 1 species
CCUACGGGCGGCAGCAGUGGGGAAUAUUGCACAAUGGGCGCAAGCCUGAUGCAGCCAUGCCGCGUGUGUGAAGAAGGCCUUCGGGUUGUAAAGCACUUUCAGCGGGGAGGAAGGCGGUGAGGUUAAUAACCUCAUCGAUUGACGUUACCCGCAGAAGAAGCACCGGCUAACUCCGUGCCAGCAGCCGCGGUAAUACGGAGGGUGCAAGCGUUAAUCGGAAUUACUGGGCGUAAAGCGCACGCAGGCGGUCUGUCAAGUCGGAUGUGAAAUCCCCGGGCUCAACCUGGGAACUGUAUUCGAAACUGGCAGGCUAGAGUCUUGUAGAGGGGAGUAGAAUUCCAGGUGUAGCGGUGAAAUGCGUAGAGAUCUGGAGGAAUACCGGUGGCGAAGGCGGCCCCCUGGACAAAGACUGACGCUCAGGUGCGAAAGCGUGGGGAGCAAACAGGAUUAGAUACCCGAGUAGUC